CAGAUGAGGUGGUGUGGCCAGGAGUUACUUCUAUGCCUGAUUACAAGCCAAGUUUCCCCAAGUGGGCCCGGCAAGAUUUUAGUAAAGUUGUACCUCCCCUGGAUGAAGAUGGACGGAGCUUGUUAUCGCAAAUGCUGCACUACGACCCUAACAAGCGGAUUUCGGCCAAGGCAGCCCUGGCUCACCCUUUCUUCCAGGAUGUGACCAAGCCAGUACCCCAUCUUCGACUCUGAUAGCCUUCUUGAAGUCCCCAGCCCUAAUCUCACCCUCUCCUCCAGUGUGGGCUUGACCUGGCUUGGCCUUGGGCUAUUUGGACUCAGGUGGGCCCUCUGAUCUUGCCUUAAACACUCACCUUCUAGUCUUGGCCAGCCAACUCUGGGAAUACGGGGGUGAAAGGGAGGAACCAGUGAAAAUGAAAGGAAGUUUCAGUAUUAGAUGCACUUAA
rnacentral:sRNA from 1 species